rnacentral:rRNA from 1 species
GAUGAACGCUAGCGGCAGGCCUAACACAUGCAAGUCGAGGGGCAGCACAUAAAGUGGUUUACUACUUUUGGUGGCGACCGGCGGACGGGUGCGUAACGCGUAUGCAACCUGCCUCCAACAGGGGGAUAACGGAGAGAAAUUUCCACUAAUACCCCAUAAUAUCAGAAUCGGCAUCGGUUUUGGUUGAAAACUCCGGUGGUUGGAGAUGGGCAUGCGUUGUAUUAGAUAGUUGGUGAGGUAACGGCUCACCAAGUCAACGAUACAUAGGGGGACUGAGAGGUUAGCCCCCCACACUGGUACUGAGACACGGACCAGACUCCUACGGGAGGCAGCAGUGAGGAAUAUUGGUCAAUGGGGGCAACCCUGAACCAGCCAUGCCGCGUGCAGGAAGACGGCUCUAUGAGUUGUAAACUGCUUUUACAAGGGGAUAAAUCGGUGUACGUGUACACCGUUGAAGGUACCUUGGGAAUAAGCAUCUACUAACUACGUGCCAGCCGCCGCAGUAA